rnacentral:tRNA from 1 species
GAAACUAUAGUCAAUAUAUUUAUGACAUAUAAUUUGCACUUAUAAAGAGUUAAGAACUAGUUUCA